CUCGUGAUCCGCCCACCUCGGCCUCCCAAAGUGCUGGGAUUCCAGGUGUGAGCCACCGCACCAGGCCAUCUUUCUGUGUAUUUCUAUAGGCGUCCGCAAACUUUUUCUUUUUUCACUUGAUACUCACCUCAAUUAAGAGCAGGGAUAUUUACAUAUGAUCAGUUUAUUUUUUUUCCUAACACUAUUUAUUGAAAAUCUUUCAAUGUCAGCUCUCUCUCCCCACCUCCCCCGCUUUCUUUUUUUCUGAGACAGGGUCUUGCUCUGUUGCCCAGGCUGGAGUGCAGUAGUGCUAUCUCAACUUACUGCAGCCUCCGCCUCCAGGGCUUAAGUGAUCUUCCUGCCUCAGCCUCCUGAGUGGCUGGAAUCACAGGUGCACCAUCAUGCCUGGCUUGGUCACCAAACUUUUACUGUAAGGGGCAGACUGUCAAUAUUUUUGGCUUUGUCGGGUGCGGUGGCUCACGCCUGUAAUCCCAACACUUUGGGAGUCCAAGGUGGGUGGAUCACGAGGUCAGGAGUUAGAGACCAGCUUGGCCAACAUGGUGAAACCCCAUCUCUACUAAAAAUACAAAAAUUAGCUGGGGGUGGUGGCGGGCGCCUGUAAUACCAGCUGCUCGGGAGGCUGAGGCAGGAGAAUCGCUUGAGCCCAGGAGGCGGAGGUUGUAGUGAGCUGAGAUCACGCCAUUGCACUCCAGCCUGGGCAACACAGCAAGACUCCCUUUAAAAAAAAAAAUGGCACUGUGGAGCAGAUGGUCUCUGUUGGUUAACUCUACAGCCACAGACAAUAUGUAAAUAAUAUGUAAAUGUAUGAGCAUGGCUGUGCGCCAAUAAAACUUUAUUUACACAACAGACUGUGUGGCUGGCCUGGCAGGGUGGCUCACGGCUGUAAUCCCAGCACUUUGAGAGGCUGAGGCAGGUAGAUCACUUGAGGUUAGGAGUUCAAGACUUGAGGUCAGGAGUUCGAGACCAGCCUGGCCAACAUGGUGAAACCCUGUCUCUGCUAAUAUAUAAAACAUUACCCAGGCAUGGUGGCUUGCACCUGUAGUCCCAGCUACUGGGGAGGCUGAGGCAGGAGGCUGGCUUGAACCUGGGAGGUGGAGGUUGCAGUGAGCCACUGCACUGUAGCCUGGGUGACAGAGGGAGACUCCAUCUCCAAAUAAGUAAAAUUUAAAACCACAUUGAUUUUGGGAGGCCGAGGUAGGCAGAUCAUGAGGUUAGGAGUUCAAUAUCAGCCUGGACAACAUGGUGAAAUCCCGUCUCUACUAAAAAUACAAAAAUUAUCCAGUCAUGCUGGUGCACACCUGUAAUCCCAGCUACUUGGGAGGCUGAGGCGGGAGAAUCGUUUGAACCCGGGAGGGAGAGGCUGCAGUGAUCUGAGGUCGCAUCAUUGCACUCCAGCCUGGGCAACAAGGGUGAAACUCCGUCUCAGAACAAACAAACAAACAAACAACUAGGAAACAGCAGCCUCUCUGGAAGGCGGUUCCCGAUCCCCGCUCUUUGCCUAACAGGAGCCUGUCCCUUCCCAGCGCCGUGGUGCCCUCUAGGGGCGAGGUGCAAAAUACCAAAUUCGUGAGCCAAAGCUGGUCUUCCGUUAGGCUCCGGACUCACGACGUUUCACGCUGGAAGGGACCCCGGAGACUCACUCACCCAAUGCCCACAUUUUUCACAUACAGAAAACAAAAAGCAGCUGGGCACAGUGGUUCAUGCCUGCAAUCCCACACUUGGGAGGCCGAGGCAGGGGGAUCGCCUGAGGCCAGGAGUUCGAGACCAGCCUGGCCAACAUGGUGAAACCCUGUCACUACCAAAAAUACAAAAAUUAGGGCCGGGUGUGGUGGCUCACGCUUGUAAUCCCAGCACUUUGGUAGGCUGAGGCAGGAGAAUCACUUGAGCCUGGGAGGCCAAGGUUGCAGUGAGCCAAGAUUGCACCACUGCCCUCCUGCCUGGGCAAGAGUAAGACUCCAUCUUAAAAAAAAAAAAAAAUUAGCUGGGCGUGGUGGCGGGCACCUGUAGUCCCAAUUCCUUGGGAGGCUGAGGUUGCAGUGAGCCGAGAUCAGGCCACUGCACUACAGCCUGGGUGACGGCGAG
rnacentral:lncRNA from 1 species